rnacentral:rRNA from 1 species
GACGAACGCUGGCGGCGCGCCUAACACAUGCAAGUCGAGCGAUGAAAUUUUAACCGAUCUCUUCGGAGAGAAGAUAAAAUGGAUUAGCGGCGGACGGGUGAGUAACACGUGAGAAACCUGCCUUUCACAAGGGGAUAGCCUCGGGAAACCGGGAUUAAUACCCUAUGACACAUUUCCUUCGCAUGGAAGAAAUGUUAAAACUCCGGUGGUGAAAGAUGGUCUCGCGCCUGAUUAGCUAGUUGGUGGGGUAACGGCCCACCAAGGCCAUGAUCAGUAACCGGCCUGAGAGGGUGAACGGUCACAUUGGAACUGAGACACGGUCCAAACGCCUACGGGAGGCAGCAGUGGGGAAUAUUGCACAAUGGAGGAAACUCUGAUGCAGCGAGGCCGCGUGAGCGAUGAAGGCUUUCGAGUCGUAAAGCUCUGUCCUAUGGGAAGAUAAUGACGGUACCAUAGGAGGAAGCCCCGGCUAACUACGUG